AGGAGUAGGUCAUGAUAGAAUGGUUUAAGGCUUUUUGAAGUAAAGAAAAUGCAUUAGGAAAAAAUGAAUACAGUUCAUACUAUGUAGAGCUAAAUAAGCCUUCCUUCCUGAUAAAACAAGUUUUGCUUAAAAUAGACACUAUUAAACACAACCUGUGGAAAAUAAAGUGUUCCUUUUCCUCUCCCUUAGGGAAGCUUUGAACAAUCUAAUACAUUUUCAAAGACUAACUGCCAACUGCCCACACCAUCCCAGUUGCUGACCCCCCACAGUAAACUGUCAUCAACUUAGUAAAUAAGUAAGUGCUUAAUAAAACAGUAAUUGGG
rnacentral:lncRNA from 1 species